UAUAUAUUUAUUUCUAUAUAAAAUACUUGCCUUUGCAAAAUAUUUUUAGAUAUAGAUAAAAAAUGUUGUGUACUGCAGACAAGAAUUAUUUGAUGUAGCUUUCUUAAAAAGUGUUUUGAACACAUGAAAUUUAUAAAGUGUUGUUUUCAUUUUUUUUUCUUGUUGAUACACAUACUUUUUACGUACAAUUUUUUAAAGAAUCUAGCCAACACUCUCACAAAUUUAUGGUGGAGGAGUCCUCCAGGAGGACAUAAUUUGAUUAGGAAAUGUUUUCAUUGACUGUAUUUCACAGUAAAAUAUUGUCACUCUUACACAGUACAUGUAUUUCACAACUAAAUAUUGUCAAAUGUCUGACCAAUUGCCCAAAAUUUCAAGGAGAAAGACACUAUUUCAUAAUGAAAUAUUGUCUGUCCUGGGCAAUGUUUCACAGUAUUUCAAUAUAAAAUAUUGCCAAGCCCAGUGGGAAAUAAUGGAGAACUCUGGGUUUUUCUGGUUAAUAAUGGACAAUACUGUCUAAAUAUGAUUAACUGAUAAACUGACCUGAGUCAUGACUAUUUUAUGACAUUGAAAUUAAUAAUUAAAUGAUCAAUUACAAAUGCAAUACCUAAAUGAUAUUAAAUAUAUUGUACAUGAACUUUUGAUCAAUGAUGUCCACUUUGUUAAGUGUUUUAUAAAUUCUCUUGUCCAUUGAUUUUAUUGGAUAGUGUAUUAAUGUGAGUGAGUACCAGUCCAACACAUUUACAUUACAUUACAUGUAUAUGUACAUUGUACAUGGACUCACCUGAACAAAUGUCAUGAAUUGUAAACUAUUCUCUUAAUGAUGUGAUUUAUGCAUAAUCCUAUAAAAAUAUAUAACAUUGUCCUUCUGUCUAAAUACUUAAGACUGAACAUGAUGCCAAAGAUCCAAUUUUGGUACAUAGAAAGUAUCUAUUGCAAGAAUACCAAAAUUCUGAUGAACUUACUCCUAUGGACAGACAGGAACAAUAAAAUCUUGGAGAUUCAGAUUCACAACCUGGAGAUAAAUGUACAAACCUACGACUCCAGCAAAGAGGAAAUGUCCUGAUUAUGAUUGUCAGGACCAUGACCAACUCCCAAAUGCUGAGUAACAUGUUUGACAGAAACUUGGGUGGAUUUGGAGUGACAUGUUCAAUUAGAUGGAGAAUUAGUCAAAAUUAUUUUUUGCAUGCAUUUCGUCUUUCAAUAUUGCUGAUACUGCUACAUUAUGUGGCAAAAAACUAUUGAAAUAUAUGGAGACAAGGGUACAUGCACGUUUUGUACUUUGGUCCUUUGUGUAAGGACAUCAUGGACAUUGGCGAUUUUCUCUUUGAUAAAAGACAUGGUAUGGUAACAAAAGAGAUGAAAUCAAAUUUAAAGACUUUGCUUUAGUUUAGAGUGGAAGGUGUAGCAUUCAUAUCAAUUGCUUUAGAUAAUCAUUGGGGAGGAAAAUUAUACUUCUUGUCAGCAGUUAAAACUGGUACAAACAAGAAAACUACACCAUAUUGUACUUCCUUCAAUCAAUGAUGCUAAAGAACCAUUUGAAUGUAAUAUAUCUGGGGUAGCAUCUGACAAUGAGAAAAUGAUGCAGUUUAUGAAGACAAAUAUCAAAGAGGCUAAAUGAAGAGUUGAUCUGCUGCCAUUCAGCUUAAAUUCUGUGUAGAUGUACCUUGGGAAAUUAUUUGAGUCAAAUCAGAUUACAUCUGCAGAAGACAUGCUUCGAGCUUUUGUUAGACUUUUUGAAAUUAAUGUGUUAAGACAAAAUUCUUUUGACUCUAAAUAGUUAGUCUACCAUAAUGAUUUUAUGCAACACAUGUUUGGUGAAAGGGGGUCAAUAAAUUAAAUGUACUGAAUCUAUUACUGUUUUGUUAUUCAGUUAUGCAAAUUUAGCAUGCCAAAUAGUUUUGCUGCCAUCAAACAUAUUAUUUCAACUUUUGAUUUAUUCAGACUAACUUGAUACAUAUACCAGGCAUUCAAAAUGUACAAAACUGGAAAUCUGUAAUAGGACUAAAUUGAAUGGUCUAAUUUCUCAUAAUGUUUAUUUCUAUAAAAUGUAUACUUUAAAAAACAACCAUGAAACCACAAUAUGUCUAAAUUAAUAACUAUUUUGAACAAAACGUAGCAUUACAAACUGUGCUAAAUGCUUUAACCUGACCAGCUUAGUAAUAAAUUAACAGCCUAUUUUAGAUCCAAGUAGAUUAUUAUGCGCUUGUGACUGUAGAUGCAAAUGUACUGACAAUUGCUUUAAAGUAGCAGGGAUGGGGUAAUUGAAAAUGUAAUGGUAAUUAAGUGUAAUGCAUUACAAUUUUACAUGUAAUUGAAUGUAAUGUGUAAAUGAGCAUUUUUUCAAAUUACAUGUAAUGGUAAUUUAAUUAAUUACAAUGAAAAAAGCAUGUAAUGCUAAAUUACUUUUGAAUUACAUUUCAAUUACAUGUACUUUUAUGGUGUUAAUCAUGUUAAUGAUAAGAAAUUGUGUUAAUAUAAAUAUUAUUUAUUUGACAUACAGAAAUGUUUUCUGAAUAGUCUUAUAACUUUAAAAAAAUUGUGAGAAUCAUAUAUUGGUGUUGUUCAGUUUUUAAGAAACAUCUUUAUCUAAAUAGAUUGAUAACAUGUAUAUAUUCAUAUGAUCAAAAUACAUGUAUGUAUUGUUAAACAAAUGUAUAAAUCUUUCUUAGACAGUUCAUUUAGAAUUUUAAAUCACUGCACACAAUUAUUUUGUCAAAUUAGUAUACACAAAAGGAUUAUAGAAAUAAAAAUUAUCAGCUGUAAAAACAAAUGGCAAUUAAUCAGACUAAAUGUGUAAUAAAACAGCCUAGGGACAAUGCCACUAUUACAUGUAUUUUAUCUAAUUAGCAAAAUAUUGCUAAUAUUGAGACAUUAUACAUUGUUUGUGCUAAAAAAUUAUUUUCAAUCUAGUGACAAGCAUACUUUUGAAUAAUCAUGAUAAUUGUAAAGUAAAAAACAUGGACAAUUUUUUAAUUUAUUUAUAAUUUAUUUAUUUGUAUUAUGUUUAAUUAAAUGGCUUCAUUUCUGA